rnacentral:lncRNA from 1 species
CGGGGGAGGCUGGGAGCAGGGGAGCCUGGGAGGCAGGCAGAGGCUGGGAGGCAGGGGAGGCUGGGAGCAGAGGAGGCUGGGAGGCAGGGGAGGCUGGGAGGCAGGGAGGCUGGGAGGCAGGGGAGGCUUGGAGGUGGGGAGGCUGGGAGCAUGAGAGGCUGGGAGGCAGGAGAGGCUUGGAGGUGGGGAGGCUGGGAGCAGGAGAGGCUGGGAGGCAGGGGAGGCUGGGAGGCAGGAGAGGCUGGGAGGCAGGAGAGGCUGGGAGCAGGAGAGGCUGGGAGGCAGGGGAGGCUGGGAGGCAGGAGAGGCUGGGAGCAGGAGAGGCUGGGAGGCAGGGGAGGCUGGGAGGCAGGGGAGGCUGGGAGGCAGGGGAGGGUGGCCAGAUGUAGCAAGUAAGGACACAGGAUGCCCCCAGUUAACUUUGAGUUUCAGAUAACUAGAAAUACAUUUGUAGGGUAAAUAUGCCCCAUGCAAUACUUGGGACCUAGUCACUGUUUUUGAAUCUGGCACCCCAGCUGGGCGUGUUCGGCCAGGUGGGCAGGGAAUCCCAGGGGUUUCCAGGUGGGCUUUGUCCGUGGGCACCGAGUGGGGGGCCUUUGCCUGUAGUAGACCCUGGGGGCCAGACCGCCGCUUCUGUGCGGAGCUGCCUGUCCUCCUCCCGCUGAGGUUCUGAGGCAGGAGUGCAGCCCCAGGCAGGCUCCUGGUCCAGAGGCAUCCAGGGACCACGUCAUCCCUGGAAUUUUGGUUGCAUUUAAUAACUGUAAUGUGCAGAGGAGCGGGUCAGCGUUUCAGAUUAGCGCCCAGCACGUAACGAGGGCAGCUGCUUCUGUCCAUCUGGAACUUGCUCUGGUCUCUCUCGGCCAAGGCUCAGCCCACAGGCCUCGCCCACCG